rnacentral:rRNA from 1 species
GACGGAGGAUGCAAGUGUUAUCCGGAAUCACUGGGCGUAAAGCGUCUGUAGGUGGUUCGAAAAGUCCACUGUUAAAAAUUGAGGCUUAACUUCAAAGAUGCCGUGGAAACUUUCAAACUAGAGUAUGGUAGGGGUAGAGGGAAUUUCCAGUGGAGCGGUGAAAUGCGUAGAUAUUGGAAAGACCACCGAUGGCGAAGGCACUCUACUGGGCCAUUACUGACACUGAGAGACGAAAGCUAGGGGAGCGAAUGGG